CCCAUUCCGUAAGGAAGUAAGACCCCUGAGAGAUGAUCAGGUAGAUAGGAUGGAAGUGGAAGUGCAGUGAUGCAUGGAGCGGACCAUUACUAAUCGGUCGAGGACUUAACCAAA
rnacentral:rRNA from 1 species